rnacentral:rRNA from 1 species
AUGCAAGAAUUGGGAGAUGUGUACUGCUCGGUUGAGAAGUGGUGCGAAUUGAUGAAAAAAUUCACACCCAGACAGCGCAUGAUGCUACGUGGCACAAAUUUGGACAACGGCAUCAGUGUGCUUAAUGAAGAUGUUUAUGACAUAUUCGGGAUACGUAACGAGGGUGAUGAUUCAUAUGAUGAUGAUUUUGUGAGAAGGGCCGUACUGGUUCUUAUGGGUACAGUCUUAGCACCACAAUCCACCAAGUUUGUUCCUUAUCGUUAUUACAAAAUGGUGGAGGACGUGAACGCUAUCAAGUCAUACAAUUGGAACGAUUUCACGUAG